CCAAUCAAACCGGGAGAUAGCUGGUUCUCCCCGAAAGCUAUUUAGGUAGCGCCUCGUGAACUCAUCUCCGGGGGUAGAGCACUGUUUCGGCUAGGGGGCCAUCCCGGCUUACCAACCCGAUGCAAACUGCGAAUACCGGAGAAUGUUAUCACGGGAGACACACGGCGGGUGCUAACGUCCGUCGUGAAGAGGGAAACAACCCAGACCGCCAGCUAAGGUCCCAAAGUCAUGGUUAAGUGGGAAACGAUGUGGGAAGGCCCAGACAGCCAGGAUGUUGGCUUAGAAGCAGCCAUCAUUUAAAGAAAGCGUAAUAGCUCACUGGUCGAGUCGGCCUGCGCGGAAGAUGUAACGGGGCUAAACCAUGCACCGAAGCUGCGGCAGCGACACUCAGGUGUUGUUGGGUAGGGGAGCGUUCUGUAAGCCUGCGAAGGUGGCCUGUGAGGGUUGCUGGAGGUAUCAGAAGUGCGAAUGCUGACAUAAGUAACGAUAAAGCGGGUGAAAAGCCCGCUCGCCGGAAGACCAAGGGUUCCUGUCCAACGUUAAUCGGGGCAGGGUGAGUCGACCCCUAAGGCGAGGCCGAAAGGCGUAGUCGAUGGGAAACGGGUUAAUAUUCCCGUACUUGGUGUUACUGCGAAGGGGGGACGGAGAAGGCUAUGUUGGCCGGGCGACGGUUGUCCCGGUUUAAGCGUGUAGGUGUGUGUUCCAGGUAAAUCCGGUUCACUUUAACACUGAGGCGUGAUGACGAGGCACUACGGUGCUGAAGCAACAAAUGCCCUGCUUCCAGGAAAAGCCUCUAAGCAUCAGGUAACAUCAAAUCGUACCCCAAACCGACACAGGUGGUCAGGUAGAGAAUACCAAGGCGCUUGAGAGAACUCGGGUGAAGGAACUAGGCAAAAUGGUGCCGUAACUUCGGGAGAAGGCACGCUGACACGUAGGUGAAGUGAUUUACUCAUGGAGCUGAAGUCAGUCGAAGAUACCAGCUGGCUGCAACUGUUUAUUAAAAACACAGCACUGUGCAAACACGAAAGUGGACGUAUACGGUGUGACGCCUGCCCGGUGCCGGAAGGUUAAUUGAUGGGGUCAGCGCAAGCGAAGCUCCUGAUCGAAGCCCCGGUAAACGGCGGCCGUAACUAUAACGGUCCUAAGGUAGCGAAAUUCCUUGUCGGGUAAGUUCCGACCUGCACGAAUGGCGUAAUGAUGGCCAGGCUGUCUCCACCCGAGACUCAGUGAAAUUGAACUCGCUGUGAAGAUGCAGUGUACCCGCGGCAAGACGGAAAGACCCCGUGAACCUUUACUAUAGCUUGACACUGAACAUUGAGCCUUGAUGUGUAGGAUAGGUGGGAGGCUUUGAAGUGUGGACGCCAGUCUGCAUGGAGCCGGCCUUGAAAUACCACCCUUUAAUGUUUGAUGUUCUAACGUGGACCCGUGAUCCGGGUUGCGGACAGUGUCUGGUGGGUAGUUUGACUGGGGCGGUCUCCUCCUAAAGAGUAACGGAGGAGCACGAAGGUUGGCUAAUCCUGGUCGGACAUCAGGAGGUUAGUGCAAUGGCAUAAGCCAGCUUGACUGCGAGCGUGACGGCGCGAGCAGGUGCGAAAGCAGGUCAUAGUGAUCCGGUGGUUCUGAAUGGAAGGGCCAUCGCUCAACGGAUAAAAGGUACUCCGGGGAUAACAGGCUGAUACCGCCCAAGAGUUCAUAUCGACGGCGGUGUUUGGCACCUCGAUGUCGGCUCAUCACAUCCUGGGGCUGAAGUAGGUCCCAAGGGUAUGGCUGUUCGCCAUUUAAAGUGGUACGCGAGCUGGGUUUAGAACGUCGUGAGACAGUUCGGUCCCUAUCUGCCGUGGGCGCUGGAGAACUGAGGGGGGCUGCUCCUAGUACGAGAGGACCGGAGUGGACGCAUCACUGGUGUUCGGGUUGUCAUGCCAAUGGCACUGCCCGGUAGCUAAAUGCGGAAGAGAUAAGUGCUGAAAGCAUCUAAGCACGAAACUUGCCCCGAGAUGAGUUCUCCCUGAGACUUUAGGUCUCCUGAAGGAACGUUGAAGACGACGACGUUGAUAGGCCGGGUGUGUAAGCGCAGCGAUGCGUUGAGCUAACCGGUACUAAUGAACCGUGAGGCUUAACCUUACA
rnacentral:rRNA from 1 species